rnacentral:siRNA from 1 species
UACAAUUUUUGUAUGUCCGCCUA